rnacentral:sRNA from 1 species
CUUUCUAGUCGUCAGGGCGUGGGGCUCAGUAGUCUCCUUUAUUCUCCAGGUAUAUGACCAUCAGUGACGAGUGGGAUAUUCCAGAGAAACAGCCUUUCAAAGACCUGGGGAACUUACGUUACUGGCUUGAAGAGGCAGAAUGCAGAGAUCAGUACAGUGUGAUUUUUGAGAGUGGAGACCGCACUUCCAUAUUCUGGAAUGACGUAAAAGACCCUGUCUCAAUUGAAGAAAGAGCGAGAUGGACAGAGACGUAUGUGCGUUGGUCUCCUAAGGGCACCUACCUGGCUACCUUUCAUCAAAGAGGCAUUGCUCUAUGGGGGGGAGAGAAAUUCAAGCAAAUUCAGAGAUUCAGCCACCAAGGGGUUCAGCUCAUUGACUUCUCACCUUGUGAAAGGUACCUGGUGACCUUUAGCCCCCUGAUGGACACGCAGGAUGACCCUCAGGCCAUAAUCAUCUGGGACAUCCUUACGGGGCACAAGAAGAGGGGUUUUCACUGUGAGAGCUCAGCCCAUUGGCCUAUUUUUAAUCUAUGGGGCUUUUGGACAAGAAGAG